rnacentral:rRNA from 1 species
CCUACGGGGGGCUGCAGUGAGGAAUAUUGGUCAAUGGCCGGAAGGCUGAACCAGCCAAGCCGCGUGAAGGACGAAGGUGCCAAGCAUUGUAAACUUCUUUUGUCAAGGGACAAAAUCAGGCUCGAGAGCCUGACCGAGGGUACUUGAAGAAAAAGCAUCGGCUAACUCCGUGCCAGCAGCCGCGGUAAUACGGAGGAUGCGAGCGUUAUCCGGAUUUAUUGGGUUUAAAGGGUGCGUAGGCGGACUGUUAAGUCAGCGGUAAAAGCCCGGGGCUCAACCCCGGCGAGCCGUUGAAACUGGCGGUCUUGAGAUGUCGAGAGGUAUGCGGAAUGCGCAGUGUAGCGGUGAAAUGCUUAGAUAUUGCGCAGAACUCCGAUUGCGAAGGCAGCAUACCGGCGGCGAUCUGACGCUGAGGCGCGAAAGCGUGGGUAUCGAACAGGAUUAGAUACCCCGGUAGUC